rfam:Pan troglodytes isolate Yerkes chimp pedigree #C0471 (Clint) chromosome X, whole genome shotgun sequence.
GCUGAGUGUGGUGGCGCACACCUGUAAUCCCAGCUACCAGGGAGGCUGAGGCAGGAGAAUUGCUUGAACCCAGGAGGUGGAGGUUGCAGUGAGCCAAGAUUGCACCACUGCACUCCAGCCUGGGCUACAGAGUGAGACUCUGUCUCAA